rnacentral:rRNA from 1 species
GAUGAACGCUGGCGGCGUGCCUAAUACAUGCAAGUCGAGCGAACAGACGAGGAGCUUGCUCCUCUGACGUUAGCGGCGGACGGGUGAGUAACACGUGGAUAACCUACCUAUAAGACUGGGAUAACUUCGGGAAACCGGAGCUAAUACCGGAUAAUAUAUUGAACCGCAUGGUUCAAUAGUGAAAGACGGUUUUGCUGUCACUUAUAGAUGGAUCCGCGCCGCAUUAGCUAGUUGGUAAGGUAGCGGCUUACCAAGGCAACGAUGCGUAGCCGACCUGAGGGGGUGAUCGGCCACACUGGAACUGAGACACGGUCCAGACUCCUACGGGAGGCAGCAGUAGGGAAUCUUCCGCAAUGGGCGAAAGCCUGACGGAGCAACGCCGCGUGAGUGAUGAAGGUCUUCGGAUCGUAAAACUCUGUUAUUAGGGAAGAACAAAUGUGUAAGUAACUAUGCACGUCUUGACGGUACCUAAUCAGAAAGCCACGGCUAACUACGUG